rnacentral:rRNA from 1 species
UGGGGAAUAUUGGACAAUGGGCGAAAGACUGAUCCAGCCAUGCCGCGUGUGUGAAGAAGGUCUUCGGAUUGUAAAGCACUUUAAGUUGGGAGGAAGGGCAUUAACCUAAUACGUUAGUGUUUUGACGUUACCGACAGAAUAAGCACCGGCUAACUCUGUGCCAGCAGCCGCGGUAAUACAGAGGGUGCAAGCGUUAAUCGGAGUUACUGGGCGUAAAGCGCGCGUAGGUGGUUUGUUAAGUUGGAUGUGAAAUCCCCGGGCUCAACCUGGGAACUGCAUUCAAAACUGACUGACUAGAGUAUGGUAGAGGGUGGUGGAAUUUCCUGUGUAGCGGUGAAAUGCGUAGAUAUAGGAAGGAACACCAGUGGCGAAGGCGACCACCUGGACUAAUACUGACACUGAGGUGCGAAAGCGUGGGGAGCAAACA